rnacentral:tRNA from 1 species
GCCGGCUAGCCUCAAUCGAAAGCGUGAGACUUUUAAUUCUAAAAAAGCAAUCAAGCUGUGGGUUUCAAGCCCCACGUCGGGCU